rnacentral:rRNA from 1 species
CGGUUGAUCCUGCCGGAGGUUACUGCUAUCGGGGUCCGACUAAGCCAUGCGAGUUGAGAGGGGUAAGCCCUCGGCAUACUGCUCAGUAACACGCGGAUAACCUGCCCUUGGGUCCGGGAUAACCCCGGGAAACUGGGACUAAUACCGGAUAGAUCAGAGAUACUGGAAUGUUCUCUGGUUCAAAACUCCGGUGCCCAAGGAUGGGUCUGCGGCCUAUCAGGUAGUAGUGGGUGUAACGUACCUACUAGCCAGCGACGGGUAAGGGUUGUGAGAGCAAGAUCCCUGAGAUGGAUUCUGAGACAUGAAUCCAGGCCCUACGGGGUGCAGCAGGCGCGAAAACUUUACACUGCGGGAAACCGCGAUAAGGGGACCCCGAGUGCCAGCACCUAGUGCUGGCUGUCCUACUGUCUAAAUAACAGUGGUUAGCAAGGGCCGGGCAAGACCGGUGCCAGCCGCCGCGGUAACACCGGCGGCCCGAGUGGUAACCGUUUUUAUUGGGUUUAAAGGGUCCGUAGCCGGCUUAUUAAGUCUCUUGGGAAAUCUGGCGGCUCAAUCGUCAGGCGUCCAAGAGAUACUGGUAGGCUUGGGACCGGGAGAGGUGGGAGGUACUCCCGGGGUAGGGGUAAAAUCUCGUAAUCCUUGGGGGACCACCGAUGGCGAAGGCAUCCCACCAGAACGGGUCCGACGGUGAGGGACGAAAGCUGGGGGAGCGAACCGGAUUAGAUACCCGGGUAGUCCCAGCUGUAAACGAUGCGGGCUAGGUGUCAGGUGCGGUGCGACUGCAUCUGGUGCCGCAGGGAAAACUUGAAGCGAGUCACCUGGGGAGUACGGCCGCAAGGCUGAAACUUAAAGGAAUUGGCGGGGGAGCACCACAAGNGGGUGAAGCUUGCGGUUUAAUUGGAGUCAACGCCGGGAACCUUACCGGGCGCGACAGCAGGAUGAAAGCCAGAUUGAAGGUCUUGCUGGACGAGCUGAGAGGAGGUGCAUGGCCGUCGCCAGUUCGUGCCGUGAGGUGUCCUGUUAAGUCAGGCAACGAUCGAGACCCACACCCUCUGUUGCUACUGAGGAGUUUUCCAAGGGGCACUCUGGGGGGACUGCCGCCGAUAAGGUGGAGGAAGGAGUGGGCCACGGCAGGUCAGUAUGCCCCGAAUCGCCCGGGCCACACGCGAGCUGCAAUGGCUGGGACAAUGGGUUCCGACCCCGAGAGGGGAAGGUAAUCCCGAAACCCGGCCUCAGUUUGGAUCGAGGGCUGAAACCCGUCCUCGUGAAAAUGGAAUCCCUAGUAAUCGUGCGUCAUCAGCGCGCGGUGAAUACGUCCCUGCUCCUUGCACACACCGCCCGUCGUUCCACUCGAGUGGGUUUAGGAUGAGGCAUGGUCUUUUUUGGCUGUGUCGAAUCUUAGGUUCGCGAGAGGGGAAAAGUCGUAACAAGGUAGCC